UUAACCUUUCUAUAGUUUCGUUUCUGCUUCGUUCGCGAUGUCAUAGUGAUGCCAUUACUUAUCUAUAGCGUCAAAGACUUUGGUAUUUGGUCAAAUAUGCUAUUGUGUUUUGCUUUCAGAAUUAUGUGUUGCUAUCAGUGGUUAUGCUUUUAUUUUGGUUGUUGGAUUUGGGAUUUGCUUAGUAUAUUUAUGAAGAAGAGGAACACGACGGGUUCGUGUUGGAAUAUCAAUGUUGUUUCUUCUUGGAAUUUGGUUGGUUUCUCGUAGAUUGUUGCUAAAAGAUUCGAGUUUGAUGUUUCUUUGUUUCUGUCGCGCCUUAGUCGGGGCAGAGAGUGAAUCCUUAGGAGGAUGAAAAUAUGUUUGUUCAUCGUUGCUGAAGAUUCGAUUAUGGUGUUCUUUGAUUUGAUCUGCCUGUUGGAAUUAGUUAUGUAAUCAAGGUUCUGCUCUACUCGUCCUUUCUGAACCCUAUUCCUGCUUCUUCUUUCCUAAUGCCUCAAUGAUGUGGUCUAAUUCCUUAAUCGAAAUUAGGGUUCUUGGCAUUCGGUGCGAUGUUCUAGUGUCUAGUUUUGGAAGCUUUGUGAUGCCAGUUUUAGGGUUUCCGAAGAAUAUGUGAUGUGUUUAUCUACAUUGGUUUAAUGCAAAAGGUGCGUUGGAAUUUAACAUUGGUUGCAUGCUUGAAUCAGAGUUUUUGUCCUGUAAUGUGAGCGACAAAGACUCGGGUUUUUCCUUGCUUUUCGUUUUCUUCCCCCCUUUCCUUUGCUUGUUGGUAUUAGACGGAUAAUCAAAAUUUUGCUUGAGUUGUACUUUUGAUGUUUUGUUCUGCUUCAUUAGUUGUAUGAUUAAAGUGCUGCUCUACUUGUCCUCUCUGUAGUCCAUUUCUGCUUGUUCUUUCCUGAUGCCUCAACCAUGUGGUCUAAUUCCUGCAUCAAAAUUAGGGUUCUUAGCGUUUGGUGCAAUAUUCAAGUAUCUAGUUUUGUAAGGUUUGUGAUGCCAAAUUUUACUUGUCAAGUGAGAAUGAAGAAUUUCCAAAGUGUUGUCUACAUUUGAUUAAUGCAAAAGGUGCAUUGGAUUUCACUCUUAGUUUGCAUGCUUGAAUCAGAGUUCUGUCCUCAACUUGACUGGCAAAGAUUUAGGUUGUUUUUGCUUGUUGGCAUUAGUUGUUUAAUCAAAGUUCUCUGAGCUGUACUUACAAUGUUUUUUGGUGUCUCCCGAUGAUGGUGUCUUGUUCAUUAUAAUGUCAAAUUAAGACUUUGGUUUUUUUGUGAGAUAUGCUAAUUUAUUACCAUCUGGACAUAUGCAAUGCUACUUUUUGAUGCUUCUAAAGCUUGUUUCAUCUUCAGCUCAGCAUCUUAGAUAAAAAGAUUCCGAUAUGUCUUAACUUGAUGGUUGGGAAGGGUGACACUAAAAUAUACUUUUAUAGUUGUGGGACUGAUCAUAAUUCCAUCUUCUUUGCAUGUCUCUACCAAUAUUUUUCUACAGGUAAGGUGAAUGUCAUUCCAUGAAGGGUGCUGGCUAUGCUGUUGACGGUGGCUUCUAAAUGAACUUUGGUGAAAUUGUCCUGAAGCCCAAAGCAUUAGCAGAUCUUGAUAUUUGUGUUUUUAUAUGAGCAAUCCUUGGUGGUGGUGGUGGUGGUGGCGGCGGUCAAAGUUGAGAACAUGGCCAAUUUGGACAGUGGUCCAUCUGAUUCAUCUCUAUCCUGUGAUGAAGAUGAUGGCGCAUGAUGAUGUAUGUGCAGGAGAAGCUGCAGGAAGCAUGUGAUAUGAACUAACAGAAGAAGACAAUCUAUCCAUCCACCCUCAUGAAGCAGAAACGGAAAGAAGCAAUGAACAAAUCCAAGACAAGUCGAUGCUGAUGAUCAAACGAUCUCAAUGUGUAUAUGGAAGAUUCCACUGGCUUUGGUCAAUCAAAAUUCAAAGGUCCAGUGGAGCAUUCAGAGCCCUUGAUGGACAACUACUACAAUAAUGCAUAGGAGAUCACAAAAACAAGUUGAAACACUUGUCACCUCCAAGAAAUCUCGGACAAGUGGAUGCUGGUGACCAAUCCAGUUUGUGCAUCUCGGUGGCCAAAGCAUAUUUGCUGAUGACAGUUCAUGAUCUUAAUCCGGGCAUUGAGGAUGAAGAUUCAACUGGCUUUGGUCAAGGAAGUCGACCCUGAAACCUUGAGCCAGCAGUGUCUUGUCUUGGCUGGAUGUUGGAGGUGGACUAAUCUACUUCAAGGCAUGCAAUUGUCAGCUAGUGCGGCAUGAUCCAAUGGAGCAUUUAAAACCAUUGAUGGACAACAACUGCAAUGCGCGGAGGUCUUUGGAUUCUGGUCCUGAAGCAGUAGAACCCAAUGCUUCACGCUUUUCCUCAAUCAAUCAAUCUUACUUUGCAUGAAGAGAAACAACAAGUACCUGAAGUUGCUCCGAAAGUUGAACCAGGACUAAGCGUGCAGCAGUUUUGUCACUCAUGAUUUAAACCUGUCUCGAUCAAUCUAAUAGAAAUUACUUCACCGAUGACAAUGGAUUGAGAUUUUAGAUGAGGAAGCAAAUUGAAGUUUGGGUUAA